rnacentral:rRNA from 1 species
UACAGAGGUCUCAAGCGUUGUUCGGAUUCAUUGGGCGUAAAGGGUGCGUAGGUGGCGCCGUAAGUCAGGUGUGAAAUCUCGGGGCUCAACCCCGAAACUGCACUUGAUACUGCGGUGCUCGAGUACUGGAGAGGAGAUUGGAAUUUACGGUGUAGCAGUGAAAUGCGUAGAUAUCGGGAGGAACACCUGUGGCGAAAGCGGCUCACUGGACCACAACUGACGCUGAGGCGCGAAAGCUAGGGGAGCAAACAGG